rnacentral:rRNA from 1 species
AGAGUUUGAUCCUGGCUCAGAACGAACGCUGGCGGCGUGCCUAACACAUGCAAGUCGAACGGAGAUAAGGGGCUUGCUCCUUAUUUUAGUGGCGCACGGGUGAGUAACGCGUGGAUAAUCUACCUUGGAAUCUGGGAUAACAUUUCGAAAGGGGUGCUAAUACCGGAUAAGACCACGAGCCCUUUGGAGUUUGCGGUAAAAGGGGGCCUCUGUAUAUGCUUCUGUUUCAAGAUGAGUCCGCGUACCAUUAGCUAGUUGGCAGGGUAAUGGCCUACCAAGGCGACGAUGGUUAGCUGUUCUGAGAGGAUGAUCCCCCACACUGGUACUGAGACACGGACCAGACUCCUACGGGAGGCAGCAGUGAGGAAUAUUAGUCAAUGGGCGCAAGCCUGAACCAGCCAUCCCGCGUGCAGGAUGAAGGCCCUAUGGGUCGUAAACUGCUUUUAUACACCAAGAAAAACACCCA